CUCCGUUGACUGCCAGGAUGGCGUCCCCAACAUGUAGGCCUCCACAUCUGUCAGCAGGCUGCCCGGGGUGGAUCUCAGAGAUGAGGAUUGGAACACCAUGCUCCUUCCCACCCUAACAGCAACAGAAGUCUUUUUUGGAAGGGAAGCAAGCUCAGGUUUCCAGGUGACAGGAAGGACUCCUUGCAGAAGCUAUGCUGGCUAUGACCCCAACUGUUCUGGCACUGAGGCAGGAAACAGGCACAUGAUUGCAGCAAUUCCCAGUGCUGGGCAUCUGCACAGACCACACUUACCCAGGGCGAGUGAACUGCAACACAGGAUGCUACUGACAUUCACUUAAGAAAACCAUGUUCUAACCCACUGAACAGUAAUUCUGAGGGUCCGUGUUUCAUUCCCAAAGCACCGAGCCUCCCAGGUCAUCUGUCACUGAGGACGCGACACGACCCGCUACACACCUGCCAGCCAGCUCCUUGUCCAAAUACUUGGCAGCCAGCCUGGCACCGUACACCUCGGCCUGGAGAACAGCUAUGUGUCUGCGCAGGGCCUCAUUCUCUUUUCGCAACAACUUCACUUCAGCUUCAAGCUGGGCUUCUUGCACCUUUUCUUUUUUGUUUGCUUCAAGCUCUCUUUCCUAUUGUAAUUUUUUCAAAAAAUAUAAUUUGAUGUACGUUUCUUUAUGGGUUUUAGCAGUAAACCAGAUUCCUUAAAAUAGUCUCUAAUACCCGCAAUGGAAGCAAUGAUGAAAAUGAUCACAUCAUUUCUACAAAAUGGAACACAAGGGUUGGGAAUCAGUACUGUACCAUCUCAGGAGUACUGGCUAGGAACAUGCCAAGAGGCACUCUGGCACUGAAGACAGUAAGAGAAGUGGUUUUCUCCAAGGGCAGGAGGUAACUGAGGCUGCUGCUUACUUUCUAAACCUAAUAGAAGACAUCUACUGGUAACAAGAGCAUUAUAACAUCAAGAGACAUCUACAGAGAAAUGCACCUAUGGUGUCAAUUCUGACUGAAUUGGGGACACAGCUCAUCUCUGUCUACAAGUUUAGACAGAGAUUUGGCCUUGCUCUGGCUCUUCGUAUAUGUUCACCCAUUUUCUGCUCCCACAAAAAGACACUAGCCUCUGCUCUACCUGUCAGACCGGCUGUCUGUGUGACUCUACAGGUGUCAGCCGGAAAACACCAUUCCAAGUUUUAAUGACAAAUUCACAGGUGAGAAAUUGUAUUCAAUUUCCCGUAAGAUACAAAGCACAAUCUAUAUAAUCCUACAAACUAGAGGUUACAAAUGGAAAUGCCCUCAGGAUCCAAGCGCAAAAUCAAUGAGCAGCUUCAACACAAAGUGCAAGCUGGAAGAGGCCUGCUCAGUGGCAGACUAGUACCAAUACCAGUACGCACACAGUGUGUAGCCAAAGAGAAGCUCCUCAAAAAAUCACAUGUGUCCUGGGAGACUUCAAGCUGCCUUUCCCAAAGCACCUGUCUGCAGAACCUCCAGUCCUGCAAAAGCACAGCCUCAUCUGCUCCCGUGCAUGGAGGGUGCCCAUACUGCGAACCAUGCCCCACUUGAGCACUUCAGUGAAAGUCCACUUGGCACCAGAAAUCACGGAAACUAAGCAGCAGUUUCCAUUCUAUGGACACUCAUUAAGUACUUUUCUUUUGCUUCUAGGUAUCAGAAGCUACAAAACAAAUUGCUUUGGUCUACCAUCUUGACCAGUAUCAAAGUGCAAUAUAUUCAAAUAUAAGGCAAUGCAUUCGAUAAUCUUAAAAACUUGGUACUGUCAAAAAUAUGUGUGUGUAUGUAUACACACAGAAGUUAAAAUGAAUAAAAACUGAGCCAGGCAUACCAGCACAUGCCUGUAAUCUCAGCACUCCAGGCGUAACAGGAGGAUCAUAAGUUCAAGGUCAUGCUGGUCUGCACAGUGGUUCAAGGCCAGCCUAAACUACCAAUGGCCCCUGUCUCAAAAAACCAAAACCAAAACACACAAAAACAUCCUAGCAAAAACCAUGAAAUGCUGUGUAUGUUAUUUUUUGAUUAAAAUAUUUGUUUUAUAGGUGGCAAACAAUUAAGAUGAGCAGGUUUGUUUAACUUCUACAAACAAAAAUACAACCCUUACACAUAGUUUCUAGAUUAAAAGAUUCGAAAAACAACUAAACCAGGCAUGUUGGUGCAUGCCUAUAAUUCCGGUACUCAGGAGGCUGAGGCAGAAAGAUUGCUGUAAGUUCAAGGUCAGCCUGGCUUACACAAAGAGUUCAGGGCCAGCCUAACCUACAAAGCAAGAUUCUGUCUUGAAAAAGCAAAAAACAAAACCAAACAAAAGAAAAACUAAGCCAGAAUUCUCCUUUUAUAACAAUUCUGGAAUAACAUAUCAAUUUAUUUCAAAAUGUAUUUCCUAAAAGAGCACAUAUCAUUUGCUCCCCUGCCCCCAAAAACCAGCCCCAAUAAUGUACAAAAACCUUUUUAUGACAUUUAUUAUCAUUUUAUGACAUUUUUAGAAAAUGUAUUUCUAACAGACCAAGAUUUCUUUGGACUAUAAGCUAAGUACACUUGAUGGUGAGAAUCAUCCACUUCCCAUUACUUUUACCAUACGAUAGCAGUGGAAUAUGAAAAACAUACUAAGCUACCACUGUUUUAAUGACUUAAACCUCUAAUAAAUCUACUACUCUUAGGACUGAAAUUAAAAGAUGUAAGCAAGAAUAAGAUUAAUGAAACUAAAGAUAGUUACUUCUAGAUUUAAAGGCAAUUUUUGUUUUUUAAGUUAACCUGUCUGUUACUAAGUAACAAACAAUAGUAACUUAGUUAUUUUACUUGCAGGGCUAGGGACUGAACCAGGACCUUGUUCGUGAUAGGUUAAGUGCUUUAAUGAUGAGCCACACCCCCAGCAUUAUUUUACAUUUAGCUAUGCAAGUACAUAUCAUGAAGAGAAGUCAUAAAACAAACUGAGACCUGAUUAGACUGGGGUAAUGGGAAUGACAUUAAAAAUUUAUUAUUGUUAUUUCUAAAAUAAUCUUUGGUAAAGAAUUUUUAAGAUCUAGUUGUUUUAAUGGUAACACAAUUAUUCUCAAGACUGAUGAAAGUUCUAACACAUGCAGUGGAUGAAGAAGAAACCAACAUGCAUACUCUUUUCCCAGGAAUAAAUUCAAACAAACGGAAUGAAGUGAGAAGCAGGCUGCUCAAUCUGUAUCUGUACUCUCAUGUGGGCAAACCACUUGGUCUUCUGAAGGAGAUGCGGGAAGCAAGUCACAAAGCCCAAAAGCUGUCAAAAGCAGACAGCUCUGCAAAUACAGUAAUGGCUAUAAAUCACAAACAAAAGAAAAACCAUUAACUCCAUGCAACAAGUAAAAUACAAUGGCCAUCCAUUAAACUUUUCAGGCAUGGGAAUUUUAAAUUUCAGAUACACAAGAACGAUGACAUAGAAUAUGCACAUGAAGACAUGGAAUACUUCAGCACAACAUACUAAAGCCAAACAGAACUGCUGUACUCACCAGCUCUUCCACAGAGAGGUUAGACUUAAGAUACAAGAAAAAGGGUUUAUGAUUAGAAAACCAUCCAAACAAUGAAUUUAUCUAGCGGUAAAGUCAUUACAAAGAAAAUUUCUAAAUGAUGAAUAUCAUUUGGUAAAGUUCAUUACAAUAAAUACAUAUGCAAAUCUACAAAUAGUCAACUGCAUAGUAUUAGAUUAAAAUCUGUUUUACUAAAAUUAGUCAACACAACUGGUUCAUUUGCCCUUAUUUUGUGUGCCAGGGAUUGAACUCAUGACCUCACGUUUGCCAAGCAGGCACUUAUGCCAUUGAGCUAAACCCCCAACCACCACUGGUUCAGUACUUUUCUCUACCAUCUUGGUGUUCCAAGUCUAACAUUAAGGUAAAUUAUUUUCAAAUGAAAUUGUAAAUUGCUUCUCCGUGUUAACAUCAACUAUUUGAAGGAAGCAAUUAUGAUCUGAUUUUUAUUUCAGUUAAAUAAAACACUAUUUAGGUUCAUAUAAUUUCAGGAUUUAAAAGGACUUUGGAAGAAUACAAUAUUUAAACAGAUUCUAUCACAUCAGUAUUAGAAACCAAUCAAACAACAUUAACUGAAGGUAAGUAAGGCCUACAAACCUAUCACUCAUCACCUCAUCACCUCACGUCCUGCCUUUUCCAAGCUCUGCCUGUCUCGUCUACUGCUGUGUCUCCUCAUGGUUAAUAAGAUGUCUUGCACACGGUAUACACCCAAUACACAAGAGGGUAAACUGAAAUGAGACUAACAUUUUUUCUAUUUAAGCAACUGAAUGUGUUAAAAAGAUACUCGUUAAUUAUAAUAAACUCAUAAACACCAAUAUGCAGCCUUUCCUGUGAUUACAGUGUUCAGCAGGAAAUGCUCAUAGUAUAAAAGAAUGUGCUAUUGAUUAGCACCCAGUUCUGUAUUCACCUCUUUUCUGGUUACAGAACUGAUUUUACUGCAGUUGACCAUGUGACCAACUAAAAAGCUCACACAGGGCUAUGUACAGCCAAUGAGAUAUUGGCAGAAAUCACUGAGGAGAAUGUUGCAAAAAGUUCUUUGGACAAAGCGAACCAGCCCUUUCUUUAGAUGUCUGCCCGUUCUUUAGAUUCCUAUGCUUCCUGCCGACAAUGCAGACAUGAAGAAAUCCUGAAAUGCAGACAUGAGCUAAGGUGGGACCACACAACAAAGGGACUUGUGUCCUUAAUCCCUAUGGGGCUGGCAUAUCAGACUUGUGCUGCCUGCCUUCAGGUUCCUAUAACAGAAUGUAGCUACUCUUCCAGAAUGAGACUACUGGAUAUGCUUGUAAGCUACUCUUAGGAGCCUGAGGCAAAGCAACUUAGUAAGACUAGUCUCAAUAAGUCCAAUGGUGGAACACUUGGCUAGCAUGAGUGAGGCCCUACUAACAACAACAACAAAAAAAAAACCAACAACACCACAUCAGAAUAACCCCAA